AUGGGCCUCCCCGCUCGACUCAUCCGCGGCUGGUGCGGCUUGGCAGUCCUUUGCCUGCGCCUGUGCGCAUCAUCCUGCAACCCAGACGUUGCGCCGAUAGAGCCUCUGCCCGCGAGGUCGCUGCAGUGCUUCGAGGACGGCCAGGUGUACGGGUGCUGCGAGGGCGCGCUCCGGCUGGACCCGUCGGGGGUGAUGGGCGUGCCGCUGGGGGCGGUGGACUACUACUGCGGCGGGGCGUGCGUGGUGGAGACGGAGGACGUGCUCAACUGCGUGGCCAGCGCGCUGGACGGCUUCAGCUUCCACAACGGCGCCUCCGUGGAGGGCGCGCGCUACGCCCUCAGGAGGGGGUGCAGCCACACCAUCAAGAGAGGGGACUUCAACGCUUUGGAGCCACCCAUGAGCGACUACCCGGACAUCUACGGUGACUACCGCGGCCAUGCCUGCAGGGCUACGCCUCCUCGCAGCAUCAACUUGCUCGCGUUUCUCGCUGGCGCCUGGCUGCUGCUCAUUCAGGGUCGCUGA
rnacentral:rRNA from 1 species